AAAUGUCACCAGUAAGCAAAGCCUCACUGUCUGGGUGUCAUCUGGCUUGUCUGUGCACUCCCGGAUCACAAUUGCAUAUGUGAAACUGGUCACAUUGGACACCAUGCUUCCACUGACCACAAGAAAACGCCUCCUGCCCCAGGACCCUGCGGGUGGUCACACUUUAGCAGUUGUGUCUGCCUGCACCACAGGAUCCUCCUCAGCAGCUUUACGCCAGCUGUCCUGGGCUUAUUUCCUCCAGGCUGGACAUGACUGUGGCCAUAUCGAAUGAGAGCAGCUGUGUCGCCCAUUGAAGACACUCGAGAGACAGGUCCAGCCUGCUGACACCCCCUUAAGAGGAAGGGAGGACCACACGGAACACAGCUCCCACACGAACCCACUCCUUCCCCACUGGCAUGUGGACUGGGGACUGGGACCCCAGGACUCUUUAGCACGCAGCUUUUCAUGAAUCAUCCUUGCUACACAUGGGACUAUUCAUAAGUUGCCCAACGGUAUGGCUGCCUUUGUGUUAUCAGUGUUCCAACUGUAAUGACAGUUCACGGGGUGGAGCUGGAUGGGAUUGAUCUUUGGUAUGCAGGGUCCUCUGUCUCUCUUCACAGGAAGAGUCACACAACAGCAGUUUGCAUUUGCUGGCCACAGCUCUAACACCUCUCCUCCGGCUGGCCUCAUCUAAUGCCUAGCACUAAAUACUGUUGUACACUCAUGGUGUAGUAUUCCCAGCUAUGGCUCUCCCCUGAGCUGCAGAAUGCAUUUGGCUUUCUCCCUCAGCCUCCACUGGAACAUCCGAGGGUGCCUCAGACAGGGGAGUCAGCUCAGUCACUGCUUCCCAGUAGCUUCCUACUUCCCACCAAGUACAAAUCCAAUGUCUGACCUGAUCUGCAACCCCAGCCUGGCGUUUCUGUGGGCGCACCCACGCCUCCUGCACCCACCACGAUGGCUUCCACAGACAGAGGGCAGCCUCCACUUGAGGACAGCUGUCUGCUUCAUCUGUCUGGAAGAUUCACCAGGGGUCUUCAUGGCUUCCUGCUUCACGUCCUCCCUGAGUACCUUCUUUUUGGUUUUUAAGACCAUCCUGGAACUCACUCUGUAGACCAGGUUGGCU
rnacentral:lncRNA from 1 species